rnacentral:SRP_RNA from 1 species
GCCGGGUGUGGUGGCUCACACCUGUAAUCCUAGCACUUUGGGAGGCUGAGGUGGGUGGAUCACUUCAGGUCAGGAAUUUGAGACCAGCCUGGCCAAUAUAGUGAAACCCCACCUCUA